rnacentral:rRNA from 1 species
UACGUAGGGGGCAAGCGUUAUCCGGAUUUACUGGGUGUAAAGGGAGCGUAGACGGCGAAGCAAGUCUGAAGUGAAAACCCAGGGCUCAACCCUGGGACUGCUUUGGAAACUGUUUUGCUAGAGUGUCGGAGAGGUAAGUGGAAUUCCUAGUGUAGCGGUGAAAUGCGUAGAUAUUAGGAGGAACAUCAGUGGCGAAGGCGGCUUACUGGACGAUAACUGACGUUGAGGCUCGAAAGCGUGGGGAGCAAACAGG